rnacentral:lncRNA from 1 species
GUGAAAUUUCCUGCAAUGACAUUUUGGUCACCAAAGUCAAGUUUCCUAAGCCAUGAACAGUUUCUUUAGUUACCAAUUCACUUUUCAAAAUUUCUAAAUUUUGCAAGAUGUUUCCAGUCCAGAGUCAAUUUAUGUUUGAAGAUAUUUGCACAUUUCUUGUAAACAAAGAUAACAUUCAUCUUCAAGGGUCUAACAGUUUUGCAAAAUACAUUCCCCCCCAUGAGUAUGAAAGAGCACAGCUCAGGAGCUAAGCAAUCAUAUUGGACAUAGACUAUUCAGAGUAUUAAUACUGGAUUUACUUUGGAUUGUCAGUGUGUCACUUGGGUAAGUCAUCUAACUCCUCUUUUUGCCUCAGUUUCCUUUGUGAUGUGAUUGGAAUAAUACUAAGACUGGACCUGGGAAGUAAAAUUUUCAAUAUUUUUGCACCUAAAUUUUGCCUUCCAAUGCUGAAAAUAUCAGAGAAUGAAUUUCAUGCUCAACUAGCAAAAAUAAUUGCAGUAGUGUUUAUGUGCAAACCAACACACUGUCAGUGAUUAGACAUUUAAAACUGGAACUGAUAUUUCUGAAAGUUAAAUGAAGUUGUUUCAAGUAUCCAGUGAGUAUUUACUGAGUGCCUCCUAUGAGCCAGGAAAUUUGCUAGUGACUCAAAAUUGAACGCUAACAUGAAUGCUUACCCUUAAUUCCUCUUGAAUCUUCAGCCUUGAAAGGGAGACAAAUACCCAUGAUGUGAGCACUGAUGGUCUACUGCUCUCACUGCCUCAGCCUGGGUUCAUAUUCAGAUCAGGGAACCACAUCACCCAUCUGUCGGUUGUCAUAAACUGUGGGGGUUGCUGUGAUGCUGUAAGUUAUGCCACUGGUAUUUCAAAUACCAGCAGGAUCACCCAUGGUGGACAGGUUUCAGCGGAGCUUCCAGAUUAAGACUACGAAGAGGGACCUGGCCACCCACUUCUGAAAAGAUUGGCUGUGAAAACCCUAUGAAUAGCAGCAGAGCAUUGUCUGAUAUAGCACCAGGUUUGCCCGUUUAAUUCCAGCCAAGCUCUUAGCAAUAUAUCAACAGAUAAAGUGGCGUUUCAUUAAGUCGUGAACAGCAAAGGAUGGAUAUUUUUAGACUUGAUAUCCAGGAAGGCAGUUUCUUUCUCAUUUAUAUACAGAGUUUUAAAUAUGGUUAACCCUAUACCUCCAGAUGCCAUAUGGAGAGGCCUGUGUGGCAAGGAACAUAGGGUAGCCUCUGACCAACAGCCAGCAAGAAACUGAAGCCCUCUGCCCAACAGCGCUUGAGGAACUGUAUCCUGAUUACAACCAUCUUGAUGGUCCCUGAGCCAGAGGACACGUGUAAACUGCACCUGGCUUCCUGAUCCACAGGUCCCGAAAGGUCUCUCAGCAGUGGCUGUUCCCUCCUUGGCUGUAACUCCAACUGGGCAGUUCUGCCUCUGUGAUUCAAGUAUUCAUUUGGUGGCUCCAACUCCUGAUAUCUGACUAACAUUGCUAAUCAUGUGUCAAAUUGAAUGAAUUUUAGAAAUGCAACAACUCUUCUGGUGUGUGGUGAUCAAUGUGGUCUUACCUGAAAGUUUGGGUAAGAUGGAAAAAUAUAAUGCCAAAUAUUUUCUACAUUUUAGAGGAGAAAAAGAACAGCAGAGACUCCAACAAGGCACUGAGACAAAAAGUAUGAGCAAAGGCAAAACGACCAGAAAGUUCUUGAGUAUUGGUGAACUACAAUGAAGGAGGGAUGGAGAAGAAGACACAAUCACAGACAGGGUGUGCUAUGGGCCAGAUUUCUUUAGGCCCCUCUCUACAAGAUCUGAAUUGGAGAAUAAGUUCUGGGUCUGCCACUUGAUUGCUCAGUGACCUCGGGAAGAAGACUGAAAAAAAAGUUGGAAAAGGAGAACAUAUUCUCCAAUGCCAAAUUCUCCCAGGUGGCUGGGCUGAAGUUCACAAAAAAUGCAGAAUCUAUAAUGGAAGGCUUAUUUUAAAAUUAAGUAGGUCAAAUAUGCAUCAUGUACUUCAUGCUAUGAUACACUGAGAAGAAUACAACGUCAUUUUUAUGCUAUUCUUCCCCAAAAUGCACAAGAUCAAUCUAAGCAAGAAAAAAACUAAUUGAGGGGCAUUCUGUAAAAUACAUGGUUUAUACUCUUCAGAAAUGGCAAUGUACUUAAAAUAAAGAAAACUCAAGGAACUCCUCCAAAUGACAGAAGACUAAUGAGACUGUUGGAAAAAGUCAUCAAGAAGACGUGACCGCCAGUUGGCCUGUGAGCUUGACCCAGGCAAUCAGAGGUUCCUCACCCCCUCUCCUGUCCUUGGAAUGUAGGUUCUCCCUGC